AUUGAACGCUGGCGGCAUGCCUUACACAUGCAAGUCGAACGGCAGCACGGGUGCUUGCACCUGGUGGCGAGUGGCGAACGGGUGAGUAAUACAUCGGAACAUGUCCUGUAGUGGGGGAUAGCCCGGCGAAAGCCGGAUUAAUACCGCAUACGAUCUACGGAUGAAAGCGGGGGACCUUCGGGCCUCGCGCUAUAGGGUUGGCCGAUGGCUGAUUAGGUAGUUGGUGGGGUAAAGGCCUACCAAGGCGACGAUCAGUAGCUGGUCUGAGAGGAAGACCAGCCACACUGGGACUGAGACACGGCCCAGACUCCUACGGGAGGCAGCAGUGGGGAAUUUUGGACAAUGGGCGAAAGCCUGAUCCAGCAAUGCCGCGUGUGUGAAGAAGGCCUUCGGGUUGUAAAGCACUUUUGUCCGGAAAGAAAUCCUUGGCCCUAAUACGGUCGGGGGAUGACGGUACCGGAAGAAUAAGCACCGGCUAACUACGUG
rnacentral:rRNA from 1 species